AGCAGUUUUCCCCUGCAGUCAUGCCCAGCUGAGCCUGUGCAAUUCAUCCUCACACAGCAAUUCCCUGCGUAGAUGUGUCAGGUCUUCCUCUCUCUUCUCUGCUCCUGCUCUGCUCUCUCUAGCUCAGUCCAGGGCAUUUAUAUGGAUCCAAAAGUUUGGAAUGAGAUUUUGGAUUGCAUGUACUUGUAAUUCAGCUCAUAAAUUAGUACUGGAAAACUAUACUGCUUUGCUGCGAUGUCUGCCUGGUAGUGUUCUUGUAACGCUGUCCACAAGGGUAGGUUAUUGGCAGAAAGCUCAAGCCACAUCUUGGAAGUUUUUCCUGUUGCCUUACGCCUCUCUUUGACCUGUCUGGCUUGGCUGUGACCCAGCCGCUUUAGGCUCUUGCUGGUUUGACGUCCCUCACCCACAGUCACGGGGCACACAGCUUCCUGCUGUCCUCAAGGAGGCAGCUGAUACUACAGAAAACGAUCAUCUCGGGUUUCUCGCUUCUCCUGCUCACUCUUAGGUUAGCUCAGGUUCUUAAUUUUUCAAAGCAACACAAUCAAAUAGCGUCUUUCUUGCAUGGCACUGAAAAUCAGGGUAAAAUUGGCUGCUAGACAUUUCCUGUUUAUGGCACUUCUUGCCAUAUUUUGACCUCAUUCAACCUUAACUCUUUUCUUUUAAGAUAGAAAUGCUGGGGGAGAAAAGGGCUAUCGAACCAGGCCUACUCUGUUAUUAAUUAUGAAUUAUUGCCGUGUUGCUGCAUUAAUGAUGGCUCUUUUAUGUGAGAUACCUUGUAUUUCUGAGGCAUUCACAGAACCAACUACCAUGUGGUCCGAAGAUURUCAAAAACCUGCAACUAAGUGCUGGCUUGCAAUUUGUAUGUAUGGACACAAGAUUCAGUGCUCAUUUCUCCAAAUGGCUGCAGGUAAUGUGGACAACUGGCAGAAUAAGGGAAAGAAUAUGCAUGUACCAGCCACAAACAGGGUUAGUAUAACUGAAGUCAUGAAUGUCUCUGAGCUCUUGCAAUGCAGUCCUCUCCUGGGAAUUACAAGCCAGUGGAAAAAUAUCUUUUCAAAUGUGGGUUUUUGUUACAGAGUAACACACAGCCAUGACUACUCACCUCACACUCUUUAAUCUUUUAAAAUACCUCUUUCCCUGAUUUGACAAUCUGUGGCAUACACAGUUAAAAGCUG
rnacentral:lncRNA from 1 species